CUCACUUAUUCUUACAUCCAACGGCCAGAGUUUUUUUCCUAGUGAGCAGAAAAAAGAAAAAAAAAAAAGAAAAAAUCGCACCGAUGAGAAAAGCUGAAAUUAGGGUUUUUCGGUUCCUAUAAAACUAAGAGAACCCCAAAAGCUCUGAUUUCCAUUUUCAAUUUCAAUACCUCUCUCUCUAUUUGUUAUUGUUUUUAAGUUUUUGCAGAGAUCAAUCAUGGGAAAGGGUCCCGGUCUCUACACUGAAAUCGGCAAGAAAGCCAGAGAUCUUCUUUACAAGGACUAUCAGACGGAUCAAAAGUUCACCAUCACUACCUACUCACCUACUGGAGUCGCCAUUACAUCUACAGGUGUAAAGAAAGGUGACCUGUUUCUGGCAGAUGUCAAUACUCAGCUGAAGAACAAGAAUAUCACUACUGAUGUCAAAGUGGA
rnacentral:misc_RNA from 1 species